AAAUAAGUAUUUUUGUAUUAAAAAGAAAUAGUUUAAAUAUUUAUAUAUUUUGUGAAGAUUUUUUUUUUUUUAGGGAGGGUAGUAAAUUUAAUUUUUGUAUGGUAAGAUUAUAUAGAAAUUGGUUUAUAUAGUUGUUUUUUUGAAAGAUUAUAUAGUUGUAUUUUUUGAUAGAUUUAGGGAAUAGUUGAUUAGUAGAGAUAGUUAGAAAUGUUAUUUGU
rnacentral:misc_RNA from 1 species